rnacentral:rRNA from 1 species
CCCUUAGAUGCUCUGGGCCGCACGCGCGCUACACUGGUCGAUGCAACGAGUUUCUUUCCUUGGCCGACAGGCCUGGGCAAUCUUUGAACAUCGAUCGUGAUCGGGAUAGAUUCUUGUAAUUUUUGAUCUUAAACGAGGAAUUCCUAGUAAACGCAAGUCAUCAGCUUGCAUUGAUUACGUCCCUGCCCUUUGUACACACCGCCCGUGGCACCUACCGAUUGAAUGGUCCGGUGAAAUCUCCGGACUGGCGUGAGUCGGAGCAAUCUGACAAACGCCGGAAAGUUGAUUAAACCUUACCAUUUAGAGGAAGGUGAAGUCGUAACA